UACGAAGGGGGCUAGCGUUGCUCGGAAUCACUGGGCGUAAAGCGCACGUAGGCGGAUUUUUAAGUCAGGGGUGAAAUCCUGGAGCUCAACUCCAGAACUGCCUUUGAUACUGGGAAUCUCGAGUCCGGGAGAGGUGAGUGGAACUGCGAGUGUAGAGGUGAAGUUCGUAGAUAUUCGCAAGAACACCAGUGGCGAAGGCGGCUCACUGGCCCGGUACUGACGCUGAGGUGCGAAAGCGUGGGGAGCAAACAGG
rnacentral:rRNA from 1 species